GACGAACGCUGGCGGCGUGCCUAAUACAUGCAAGUUGAGCGAUGAAGAUUGGUGCUUGCACCCAUUUGAAGAGCAGCGAACGGGUGAGUAACGCGUGGGGAAUCUGCCUUUGAGCGGGGGACAACAUUUGGAAACGAAUGCUAAUACCGCAUAACAACUUUAAACAUAAGUUUUAAGUUUGAAAGAUGCAAUUGCAUCACUCAAAGAUGAUCCCGCGUUGUAUUAGCUAGUUGGUGGGGUAAAGGCUCACCAAGGCGAUGAUACAUAGCCGACCUGAGAGGGUGAUCGGCCACAUUGGGACUGAGACACGGCCCAAACUCCUACGGGAGGCAGCAGUAGGGAAUCUUCGGCAAUGGACGAAAGUCUGACCGAGCAACGCCGCGUGAGUGAAGAAGGUUUUCGGAUCGUAAAACUCUGUUGGUAGAGAAGAACGUUGGUGAGAGUGGAAAGCUCAUCAAGUGACGGUAACUACCCAGAAAGGGACGGCUAACUACGUG
rnacentral:rRNA from 1 species